rnacentral:ncRNA from 1 species
UGUGGGAAAGGGCAAAUUUUACGAAAGUAAAAGACGCAAAGCCACGGGCCUAAAACAAGACAUUGUCAUGGCAGCCGGGUUGCAGGU